rnacentral:lncRNA from 1 species
GUACCUAAAAUAAACAAUCCUCCUGUUCUCCAUAUUGGUCUCUUCGGUCCUCAGUUUCCUGCGACAUUUUUGGCAGCCACGAAGGGACCAGAGAUGGCAGGCUGUCUCCUUUCCUCUGGGGGCUGGAGCCCUGGGCCAGGGGAAACCUGUGACCCCAGGUGCCACCAGGAGAACUUCAGCCCCUAGGGGAAAUCAGCUCUCCCAUGACCCGGCACCCCUACCCAGCAGCGCAACAGAACCUGAAAGGAGCUACAGGACGAUUUCAGAAACAGCAUGAACUGUG